GACGAACGCUGGCGGCGUGCCUAAUACAUGCAAGUCGAACGAGUGGCGGACGGGUGAGUAACACGUGGGUAACCUACCCAUCAGUGGGGGAUAACACUUGGAAACGGGGUCUAAUACCGAAUAAAGGGGGAUGGGCUCGCGGCCUAUCAGCUUGUUGGUGGGGUGAUGGCUACCAAGGCGUGACGGGUAGCCGGCCUGAGAGGUUGAUCGGCCGCAUUGGGACUGAGACACGGCCCAGACUCCUACGGGAGGCAGCAGUGGGGAAUAUUAGGCAAUGGGCGCAAGCCUGACCCAGCAACGCAGCGUGAAGGAAGACGGUCUUCGGAUUGUAAACUUCUUUAGACAGGGACGCGGUACCUGUAGAAUAAGCCACGGCUAACUACGUGCCAGCAGCCGCGGUAAUUC
rnacentral:rRNA from 1 species